AUUGAACGCUGGCGGAAUGCUUUACACAUGCAAGUCGAACGGCAGCACGGACUUCGGUCUGGUGGCGAGUGGCGAACGGGUGAGUAACAUAUCGGAACGUAUCCAAUAAUGGGGGAUAACUAAUCGAAAGGUUGGCUAAUACCGCAUACGAUCUGCGGAUGAAAGCGGGGGGACCUUAGGGGCCUCGCGCGAUUGGAGCGGCCGAUGUCAGAUUAGGUAGUUGGUGGGGGUAAAGGCCCACCAAGCCAACGAUCUGUAGCUGGUCUGAGAGGACGACCAGCCACACUGGGACUGAGACACGGCCCAGACUCCUACGGGAGGCAGCAGUGGGGAAUUUUGGGCAAUGGGCGCAAGCCUGAUCCAGCAAUGCCGCGUGCAGGAAGAAAGGGCCUUCGGGUUGGUAAACUGCUUUGUACGGACGAAAAAGUCCGGGUUAAUAACCCUGGGCCCAUGACGGUACCGUAACGGAAUAAAGCACCGGCUAACUACGUG
rnacentral:rRNA from 1 species